GUAACUAGGGGGGGGUUGGAGGGGGCACGUGCCCCGGGCGCCGUCCAAAGGGGGGCGCAAAAAUGGGCAAAAGACUACCUCUCCGCCUUGCCAAAAGCACAGCAGCAGGGAUACUUUCGUCAGUCGUAUUUACCACCACUGUGAAGUGUGAAAUGUGGAUGGUAAUCUGGCCCACAGCUCAAAAGAGAAAGCCGAUCUUUUAGGUACUCCUAUCAAGCAGAGGGAUAUUCGGCGGGAGUUACUAUGCUUUCAUUUUAUAAGGCGAGCGGGCUGAGUGCUUCAGAGCUGUGUCCCAUGUUAGCGCGUCUUUUCCGUCAGGGGUCUCCUGUCGGGAAGUUACCAUCUUAUGGACUGUCCAAGAGACUACCUAUGCAAAUGGAUCGCUAGCCCUUUGUCCGGCAAGCACAUAUAUGCCGUAGUAGACGGAACCUGCUCCAAUAGCAGCUGCUGCUGCGUAUCUGUCGGACGACAGUAGGUACUGGGGAUUCCUAUACAGGGUGGCUAAAAAUAACUACACUCCCGUUGCUAGGGAGGUUUUGGGAUUUUACUGAGCAACUUUUACUACGGGACCAACCCCGAUCUCGCGAAAAAAAAGUUUGCCUUAUAAAGAAAAAAAAAGGUAAAGUACAAUGAGCUGUUGUCUGAAAAAUUGUUUAACAUGCUGUCUAACUAGGCAACUGCCAUCGGUUACAGCUUGCCAUCACUGCACCGCUCGCCGUAGGCAGAGUGUUUAUCCUCACACCCUAGAAUCUAAAUGGUCGCGCUCUGUGCGGUUUAAGAGGAAUUCCCUUCACAGCGGGCGGGAGGAAAUUCGUCGAGAAAAGGGAGCUCAUUCACAAUAAGUUAAAUAAGAUUCCCUUUUCUCGAGAGGCUACAGGCUAUGGUGACCUCCAAAAAAGAAGUGUAUACGUUUUAACCCUUUACCAGGCCAAGGGAAAUAUUCCACCCACAUCUUAUAUCGGUUACCGUAGUCAGGUUUUAACUCCAAACCACCUACAAAAUAUUUUGUCAAUCCCUGAAAAUAUUAUUUUAUGAUCUUCAUUCACAACACGCUUCUAAAUUGCGUAAUAUAUCUUUGGCAGCCAUUUCAAUUCACUUGAACGCUAAUUUCAGCAAACUACGGAGAAAUUCGAACACUUUCCAUAAUUUCUAUGAAACAGAAGUACAUAGAUCGAACAAUUUUUUGAUAUUUUGUAGAUUUUGAGUGUUGAAAGCAAAUGUAAUCGUAAACAUUGCUAAAUAUUCAUGCAUUAUUGUGUAUGACCAGAAUUAGGAUGUGGGUUGACAUUAUCCCAUGGCCUUAUUAGAGUUUAACUGUGUGGGAGCUAUUUUUCCCAUGGCCCGGUAAAUUGUCUUGUCAUGUCAUAAAAACUCACGUAAGUAAUAAAACAGUUUUUGUUGAUUGAUAUAAUGGUUCGUAGGAGAUUUGGAGUUAAACCUUGACUAUUAUAACCGAUAUAAGAUGUGGGUGGAAUAUAUCCCUUGGCCUGAUCAAGAAUAUAAUAAGACAAAAUCUAGUAUGACAGUUCAUUACUUAGACAGGCGAUGGGAUAACCGUAACCCACAUUUUUAUUUCUGGUUUAGAGGAAGAUCUCCGACUUUCAUAAAUA